UAGGGAAUCUUCGGCAAUGGGGGGAACCCUGACCGAGCAACGCCGCGUGAGUGAAGAAGGUUUUCGGAUCGUAAAGCUCUGUUGUUAAGGAAGAACGAGUGUGAGAAUGGAAAGUUCAUGCUGUGACGGUACUUAACCAGAAAGGGACGGCUAACUACGUGCCAGCAGCCGCGGUAAUACGUAGGUCCCGAGCGUUGUCCGGAUUUAUUGGGCGUAAAGCGAGCGCAGGCGGUUAGAAAAGUCUGAAGUGAAAGGCAGUGGCUCAACCAUUGUAGGCUUUGGAAACUGUUUAACUGGAGUGCAGAAGGGGAGAGUGGAAUUCCAUGUGUAGCGGUGAAAUGCGUAGAUAUAUGGAGGAACACCGGUGGCGAAAGCGGCUCUAUGGUCUGUAACUGACGCUGAGGCUCGAAAGCGUGGGGAGCGAACAGG
rnacentral:rRNA from 1 species